GAGCCUGUGCUGUGUAGUGGUUUUGAGUGUUGGACUAUAACUCUAAGAGACCAGGGUUCAAAUCCCUGCUUGGUUCA